CAUACUUUCAGUUUAUAUAUCCUAAAAUCAUGCCUUCUUCAGAGAAUGGCGUGAAUCAAGGAAUUCAAAUUCAAAUUCAUUUAAACAUAUCUAAUAUACUAUGAUUUUCUUUUCUCGAUAAAUAUCCAUAAUUCGAAAUUCAACUUUCAAACAUGUUUGUUAUCAUCGUUUUCACUCCCUCACACGGUUCAUAUGGAUGCAUCGACGAUGCAUCGACUUCUUCUUCCAGUGGAAAAAAACGGACUUCGCUUGGUCAUGCAUCACUCUAUUUUAUCUUCUAAACAUGGUUUGAUACAUGUUCUGAAUGAGAAGUUGGGUGGAGUUGCAGUUUGGGUUGUAAGUU